AGAUUGAACGCUGGCGGCAUGCCUAACACAUGCAAGUCGAACGGUAACGCGGGGGCAACCCUGGCGACGAGUGGCGGACGGGUGAGUAAUACGUAGGAAUCUGCCCAUUUGUGGGGGAUAACCCGGCGAAAGCCGGGCUAAUACCGCAUACGCUCUACGGAGGAAAGCGGGGGAUCGCAAGACCUCGCGCUAAUGGAUGAGCCUACGUCGGAUUAGCUAGUUGGUAGGGUAACGGCCUACCAAGGCGACGAUCCGUAGCUGGUCUGAGAGGACGAUCAGCCACACUGGGACUGAGACACGGCCCAGACUCCUACGGGAGGCAGCAGUGGGGAAUAUUGGACAAUGGGGGCAACCCUGAUCCAGCAAUGCCGCGUGUGUGAAGAAGGACCUGCGGGUUGUAAAGCACUUUCAGAGGGAAGAAAAAAUCGGAAUCUAACACAUCCGAGCUUGACGUUACCCUUAGUAAGAAGACACCGGCUAACUCCGACGCCAGCAGCCGC
rnacentral:rRNA from 1 species